rfam:Gossypium raimondii chromosome 7, whole genome shotgun sequence.
AUUUCGUGAUGAGGGCACUUCCGUAAUAAUUCUUUGUACCUUUCCCAUGCCUCAUACAAGGACUCAUCAUUCAUUUUCUAGAAGGUAGUGAUCUCAUUCCUCAACUU